rnacentral:rRNA from 1 species
CCUACGGGCGGCAGCAGUGAGGAAUAUUGGUCAAUGGGCGCGAGCCUGAACCAGCCAAGUCGCGUGAGGGAGGACGGCCCUACGGGUUGUAAACCUCUUUUGCCGGGGAGCAACGGGCGUCACGUGUGGCGCCACUGAGAGUACCCGGAGAAAAAGCAUCGGCUAACUCCGUGCCAGCCGCCGCGGUAAUUCGGAGGAUGCGAGCGUUAUCCGGAUUUAUUUGGUUUAAAGGGUGCGUAGGCGGAUCGUUAAGUCAGUGGUCAAAUUGAGGGGCUCAACCCCUUCCCGCCAUUGAAACUGGCGCUCUUGAGUGGAAGAGAGGUAUGCGGAAUGCGUGGUGUAGCGGUGAAAUGCAUAGAUAUCACGCAGAACCCCGAUUGCGAAGGCAGCAUGCCGGCUUCCGACUGACGCUGAAGCACGAAAGCGUGGGGAUCGAACAGGAUUAGAUACCCCUGUAGUC